rnacentral:rRNA from 1 species
UACAGAGGGUGCGAGCGUUAAUCGGAAUUACUGGGCGUAAAGCGCGCGUAGGCGGCUUUGCAAGUCGGGUGUGAAAUCCCCAGGCUUAACCUGGGAACUGCAUUCGAGACUGCAUUGCUAGAGUAUGGGAGAGGGAAGUGGAAUUUCCGGUGUAGCGGUGAAAUGCGUAGAUAUCGCUUGGAACGCCGAAGGUGAAAACAGGCUGCUGGGGUUGCGCCGACGCUGAGACACGAAAGCCAGGGGAGCAAACGGG